rnacentral:rRNA from 1 species
AUUGAACGCUGGCGGCAGGCCUAACACAUGCAAGUCGAGCGGAUGAGGGGUGCUUGCACUCUGAUUCAGCGGCGGACGGGUGAGUAAUGCCUAGGAAUCUGCCCGAUAGUGGGGGACAACGUUUCGAAAGGAACGCUAAUACCGCAUACGUCCUACGGGAGAAAGUGGGGGAUCUUCGGACCUCACGCUAUCGGAUGAGCCUAGGUCGGAUUAGCUAGUUGGUGAGGUAAUGGCUCACCAAGGCUACGAUCCGUAACUGGUCUGAGAGGAUGAUCAGUCAAACUGGAACUGAGACACGGUCCAGACUCCUACGGGAGGCAGCAGUGGGGAAUAUUGGACAAUGGGCGAAAGCCUGAUCCAGCCAUGCCGCGUGUGUGAAGAAGGUCUUCGGAUUGUAAAGCACUUUAAGUUGGGAGGAAGGGCUGUAGGCUAAUAUCCUGCAGUUUUGACGUUACCAACAGAAUAAGCACCGGCUAACCUCGUGCCAGCCGCCGCCGUAAUAC